AUCUUACUCUUUUCGUCCGAAAAUAUUUGUCCUAUAAAUGGUUAUAUCUAGAUUUAUUUUAGUUAUAGAUACAUCCAUUUUAUCUAUUUUUAGGACAAGUAUUUUCGGACGGAGAAAAUAUAUU
rfam:Triticum urartu cultivar G1812 contig439407, whole genome shotgun sequence.